rnacentral:rRNA from 1 species
AUUGAACGCUGGCGGCAUGCUUUACACAUGCAAGUCGAACGGUAACAGGCCGCAAGGUGCUGACGAGUGGCGAACGGGUGAGUAAUGCAUCGGAACGUGCCCAGUCGUGGGGGAUAACUACUCGAAAGAGUAGCUAAUACCGCAUACGAUCUAUGGAUGAAAGCGGGGGACCGUAAGGCCUCGCGCGAUUGGAGCGGCCGAUGUCAGAUUAGGUAGUUGGUGGGGUAAAGGCUCACCAAGCCAACGAUCUGUAGCUGGUCUGAGAGGACGACCAGCCACACUGGGACUGAGACACGGCCCAGACUCCUACGGGAGGCAGCAGUGGGGAAUUUUGGCCAAUGGGCGCAAGCCUGAUCCAGCAAUGCCGCGUGCAGGAAGAAGGCCUUCGGGUUGUAAACUGCUUUUGUACGGAACGAAACGGCUCUGGUUAAUACCCGGGGCUAAUGACGGUACCGUAAGAAUAAGCACCGGCUAACUACGUG